AGUGAACGCUGGCGGUAGGCCUAACACAUGCAAGUCGAACGGCAGCACAGUAAGAGCUUGCUCUUACGGGUGGCGAGUGGCGGACGGGUGAGGAAUACAUCGGGAUCUACUUUUUCGGGGGGGAUAACGUAGGGAAACUUACGCUAAUACCGCAUACGACCUACGGGUGAAAGCAGUGGAUCUUCGGACCUUGCGCGAUUGAAUGAGCCGAUGUCGGAUUAGCUGGUUGGCGGGGUAAAGGCCCACCAAGUCGGCGAUCCGUAGCUGGUCUGAGAGGAUGAUAGGCCACACUGGAACUGAGACACGGUCCAGAGUCCUACGGGAGGCAGCAGUGGGGAAUAUUGGACAAUGGGCGCAAGCCUGAUCCAGCCAUACCGCGUGGGUGAAGAAGGCCUUCGGGUUGUAAAGCCCUUUUGUUGGGAAAGAAAAGCAGCAGGUUAAUACCCCGCUGUUCUGACGGUACCCAAAGAAUAAGCACCGGCUAACUUCGUG
rnacentral:rRNA from 1 species